UUCGACCCGACCGGAAUCAUUCAUUGGUUUGAAAUUUAUUUAAUCCCUAUGAAAAGUACAUAUUCUAAACCCGUCUAGUUAAAUCAAAAAUUAAGUUUCAAUUUAAGUUAAUUUAUAGGUAAUGUUUUUAGAUAGAUUUUUUUAUUUCAAUUCGAUUUCAGAUUGAUUAUAUAAGGAAAUAUCUAUCAAAUAAAAACUCUUAACAAAAUCUAAACAACUCCGCUAAUUGGUUUUAAAAAAUCGAGUCAUAUACCACGCAAUCAUUCCUACAAAUAAGGUAAUUACUAGAUAUUGUAGUCUUAAUAUUCUCUAAACUAUAAAAUCUCCAUUCAUAUCUACAAUAUAUGUUACUUAACGCUGCCGGAGCGGCAGCUACGAAGUAAAACGACAUAUCAUGAAAAGUAACAACUAAGUAAAAAACGAUACCAAAACUCGAAAAUAACAGAUUUAGAUGAUUCGCGGAUGAAUGGUGAUGAGUACCAACGACAUCAGAUGAGUCGCUG
rnacentral:sRNA from 1 species